UACGUAGGUGACAAGCGUUGUCCGGAUUUACUGGGCGUAAAGAGCGCGCAGGCGGUCGUUCAAGUCGAGUGUGAAAGCCCCCGGCUCAACUGGGGAGGGUCACUCGAUACUGAUCGACUCGAAGGCAGGAGAGGGAAGUGGAAUUCCCGGUGUAGUGGUGAAAUGCGUAGAUAUCGGGAGGAACACCAGUGGCGAAGGCGACUUCCUGGCCUGUUCUUGACGCUGAGGCGGCGAAAGCUAGGGGAGCAAACGGG
rnacentral:rRNA from 1 species